UUUUGUCUUUUCUAGGGCCGCACCGGAGGCAUACGGAAGCUCCCAGGCCAGGGGUCAAAUCGGAGCCACAGCUGCCAGCCUACACCACGGCCACAGCAAUGCCAGAUCCAAGCCACGUCUGCGACCUACACCACAGCUCACAGCAACACCAGACCCUUAACCCACUGAGUGAGGCCAGGGACCCAUGUCCUCAUGGAUACUAGUCAGGUUCAUUAACUGCUGAGCCACGAUGGGAACUCCCCCCUUGCAUUUCUGAUGCUGACUCACUUGUCCUAGGAUGCUCUGCCUGUGGAGGAGAGCCUAGGGCACAGCCAAUUGUGUCAGGUUGUCCUGCAUGGACACAUGGAGACCUCUCGUCUUUGCGCUGGACUUCGCUUUGGUAAAGCAUUUCCCAUCUCAUUCUACUCAUUCAGCCCUGUGCUAGUUCUUCAGGGUAGGUUGUCAUUUCGCUAUCUGAGGGGUCAAUACAGCAAUGGGGGGAAGAGUGGGCUAGAGCCCGGUUCUCCCAACCUGUGUCAGGUGUGGGAUUUUCAUGGAUUGGACUCAGUUCCCAGGCCGACUCAAACUCCCAGAGCCCCCAGGUUCCCAGGAAGUUGGGGCCAUCCCUCAUGCCCACCUCACGACCUCUGGAGGCAGGGAGAAUGCCUGUCCACCUGAAGUGGGUGGCGGGACAGGCGAUGCCCUGAGAGCUCAGCCCUCACCCCUAGGCUAGCACAUCCUCCCAGAGUAUUCUGCAGCCAGGCCUCAGAGCAGCUCUUCUCUAAGCCUUUAGGUCUUCUUCCAGCUCCCCUGCCAAUGGUUCCUGGCUUAGUCAGGCUCUGAGACGCCUUGGUUCCUGCCGUCAGCACUUCCUUCAGUUUAGGAAUAAAAGGAAGCCGUCCUCUGAAUCCCCACGCACGUCUCCCACCCCCAGAGUCUUCUUUGCUAGCUCCUGCUGUUGCGACUGUCAGGAGUGGAUUUUUGGGUAAUUUUGCUGCAGCUGUGGCGUAGUUCAGUGCUGUGGCUUGGAUUCAAUCCUGGCCCAGGAACUUCCAUAUGCCACAGGUGUGACUGAAAACAGAAAAAGCAGAAAAAGGGAGGGAGGAAGAGAGCAAGGAAGGAAAAAAUUGCUAAGUUUGUUCCUUAAUGAGUCUAGUUCAGAAAACAAGUCCUUUCAAGCUCUAAUUUGACUCAAGAUAAAAAUUUUGGCCUCUCAAAGUCUAUUUGCGUUAGUAUUUAUUGUGUCCCAACUUUGCAACUAGCAUUUUAAAAAGUAAAUAGCUUGGGAGGGGAGAAUUGAGACAAAGGCAUGGUUUUGGUCUUAUAGAGGGUCUCAUUCUGAGCUUUCACUGAAAAAGAAACUCAAUGUAAACCCGCUUAAGAAGGAAAGGCAUUUAUCAGCUCCCUAAAUUGGGAAGUUCUGAGGUCAUGACUCAAUCCAGGGACUUAAAGGAUAGUGUGUGCCCUCUCCACCUCUUGGCUUUGCUGUACUCUUGGAGUGCUUCAUUCUCACGGCUGGAGUUCAAGCCUCCAGGUUAAGAUGUCUGGCUCUCACACAGGCAGUGAUUCGUUAAAGCAGUGCUAAAGGGGCCAGGCCAGUCUGAGUCUGUCCCUUUUGAAACUCUUCCCCAGAAGUCCCUUUCAGCAACUCCUCCCCACAUCCUAUUGACCAGAACUGGGUGACAUGACCACCCCCAGCCGCAAGAAACUCUGGAGAGGCAUGUAUUUUCAACUGGGCUUCCCGCUAGACCAACAAAAGCAGAGUUUUGCUCGUGAGAACCAAGGAGAGAAAGAGCAUUUGUUGGGGAGCCAGGAGUGUUUAUAGGAAGACUCUGAUUGGCUCAGCACGGUCAUGUGGUCAUCCCUGGACCAACCACUAGGGCCUACUGAUAGAGUCCUCUGAUUGGCCAGGCCUGCUUCAGGUGCUUCCCCUGCUGGAGAAGGCAGCCCAGCUGAAUCCCAUGGAACACGUUUUCCCAUAGGAGGGAGAGAUUAAGUUACUAGCAGAAGAGAAUAAGGCUUUAUAGGCCAAAAAGGAUGCUGGGCAGAUAAACAACCUACUCCCAUAACAAGAAUUUUCCAAUAUAGAAAGAAAAUAUACCAAUAAAUAGCUUUAGGGAGAAAACAGUUUCAGAAAUCUCUCCCUGACACAAUAUACACAAAGUCAUGUUGCAAGAACCAAAUAUAGCCACAUUAAGGGGAUGCAGAGAAAAACGGUUAAAAAGGAAGACUUCCUGAUGGGAGUGACCUUGGAGUUGGGGUGUGAAGGAGGUGAAGGCUAGAGGAGGAGCAGGGUUGCAAAAGCCCAGUGGGAGAAGCACCACCCAGAGGCCGGGAACAGAGCUGGCUGGGAGAGAGAGGGAAGGUGGAGUGGCCAGCCCACCGAGUGUUCUCCCGCCCUGUGGCUGUGGAGGCUGGGUUUCCUCCCUGGGUGUGUCUGGGCCUCAGAAAACCGGAGGCUUCCUUUUCCCCUUGGGUCAGCAUCUGGCUCUGACACAGCCCUACUUAGCACUGUCUCGGCCUGGGAGGUUGGGCAGAGGGGAACUGGGAAGCCCUUUGAUGCUAAGUUCCAAGUGGAAGGAGGGAGGUGGCUCUGACAUGGGAGCAAGAUGGAGCCACUGGGAGCGAGGUCCUAACCCAGUUAAGGAGUGAUUAUAUGGUCGUUUUCAAGGGCUGUGCCAGUUAACAGACACAUCCCAGGAGGCUCUAACUGGCAGCUCGACAAUUCACUGUUAAACCUGGGAUCUGGAGCCGGCUGGUGUGGCAGCUGGGCGAGAAGCCUGGGCACAGACAGCUGGGGUGGGAAUCUUUAAGGAUGGAAACGAUGGGUAAGCAACUUGCUGUUUCCAUGGAAACUGACUCUGGGAGGAUGAAACGUGGUCCAAUGGGUAACCCAAGGGGAGAAUACCACCCACCACCAGGCUUUUGCUGUGGGCGGCAAGCGGGCACCUCUGGAACUUGCCAUUUCAGCCGUGUUGGUGGGCCCUGUCCACCUCUGUCUGCGUCCUCUUAGGAACAUCACACUCUGGCAGUGUGCGUGCCAGUUCACGGCAAUAUCCGAGAGGCCUGGGGAGACACUCUGGAAUUAGAAAAGACUUGACAUUGCUCCUGUCACCCUGAGUUAGCUCUGUCUGGCAGGAAUAUGGUACAGUGCCAGGCCACAGGAAUGGAGCUGGGGCAAGGGCCACAGACUAGGGCUAGGACAAGCUGGCAUGAGAAUACCCAGGGCAGAGGUGAAAUGGCAGGAGCACUGGAUUGGGAGCAGGUGACCUUCACACUGAUUUCAGAUGUUUUUGCCACCUGGCUGAGUGACCCCCUGGCGAGUCACCCUCUCCCAGAAGGUCCCUAAGACCUCUUCCAGCUCCACUAUUCCUCUCUUCUGGGAUCUGGAACUUGACAGUUUUGAUCUUAUCAGCCCCACACUAAACUAGCCACUGAACUACCGCUCCUUGGCACAGGGUGCCCUCACGAAGCCCAGUCCAGGCCCUUCUCAGAGUGGGUUCUGAGACAGGCAGGAUGUGGGGCAGCCCCAUUCUGCGGGCCUUUGCUGCUCAGGUGUGUCUGAGCACACAGACAGGUGCUCCUGAAGCUCCUGGCCGCCCCUGCAUGCUCCCGGAGAUGGUCUUAAUAAGCUGGCUGUUGCAAAUACUCUUCUAUUUCCAAUAGGUGCUUUUUAAGGUGGGCCUUUUCCUGGGAUAAACAUGAAGGAAAAAGCAAUUUGCAGUGUGGGAUUUUGGCUCUGGCACUGAACAUACACAUUAAGAAUUUAAUUUUCUUUGCCCUCCCUCUUCCUCCCUCCCCCACAAUAUCCUCCAUCCCCUCCUUCCUGGCCCUUCCACUCCUCUGCACCCCUGUCUCCUCGGCCAGAUGCCUCCUCCCCAUCCUACAAGGAGCAGCGGAGUGGGGAUGGGGGUCCAGCAUACAGGGAAGAGGGCCCAAGAAUCCUGCUAGGGGUGAGGGGUAAGAAAGCGAAGUGAUCUAGAUACUGCUAUUAGUACCUGUGGGCUCUCUCAAAAAACAAUAAAAAAUACUGGAAAGCCAGCAGCUAGGAUAAAGGACCUCAAGUGCCUAUGUUAAGACUGACUUCUUGUCUGUCUUUACCCCAUGCCUCCUCCAGGAGACCCCAUCGCAUGGCUCUGGGAUACAGUUUUCUCUCUUUGACACAUACUGUUCACUCCAAUUUCAAUCUAUAUUUAUUAAGUGCUUACUGUGUGCAGAGGGGCGGGGGAUGCAGGAGGGUAGAAAGUAAUGAACUUGCUCUCAGGUACCCAUGACGGGCCCCAGCCCACCUUCAACCCCAAGCCUGAGCCCCCGUCAGUGAGCCCCUCAUGCCCCUCCCAGGACACACUCCUCUGGCCCACUGCUCUUAGGGAACCUAGGCAGCCCCAAGCCUGCCCUGGAUGACAUCACCGAGCCCUGAACCAACCAAUCCUGCGGUCUAUACCAGUUCCAUAGAUUCUCACUGCUGAAGCUACCUGGAGUCGCAGCUCAGGGCAUCCUCAAUGAUUCACAUGCCUGACUGUUUUGUCUUCAGCCCAGCUCUGGGAUGUAGCUCAUUAUUACCACCCCCAUUUCAUGUAUGAGGACACUGAGGCUGAGAGAGGGUGAGCAAUCGAUAGUAAUAAAGUGGAGAUCUGAAUUCAGGUCUUCUGAUGCCAAAUGCAACGCUAUGUCCAUGACAUUACACCUGUUCACAAAUAAAAUCUAACAGCUGAACCCCUGCUGUGCUUUCUUGAGGGACACUAGGUCCUUGAGUAACAACCAUAUCAGCUGCAUAAGAAGGGACCAGACCUAGGUCUUGUUCAAAGCUACCAUCCCAUGUCCCAGGCUGUGCAGAAGCACUUUAUAUACAUUGCAGAGUUCACUGGCUCCCAGCCUCCCUGUGGGACGUCUGUAUUUUGGUUUUGUUUUCCUUUUUUUGGCCACCCCAUGGCAUAUGGGGUUCCCAGGCCAGGGUUCAGAUCUAAGCCGAAGGUGUGACCUACAUCCUUGAAUGCACCGUGCUAGGCCAGGGAUAGAACCUGCAUCCUAGUGCUGCAGAGAAGCCACCAAUCCUGUUGCACCACAGCAGGAACUCAGCCCAGCCUCCCUGUGGGACGGCAUAAUUUAUCCCUACAGGAUAAGACACCAGUUUGGGGAUAGGUGAAAAGCCUUGCUCAAGGCGACACAAUUAAUAAGGGACAGAGCUGGGCUGCAUACCCAGGCCUGCUUGAUUCUAAUCCCUUAAGCUUUCUUGCCUCUUAACAAUCACUUCCACUGACUGCCAAGAUCUCAAGUGUGGGCACAUGAACCACCAUUAGGAGGAAGCUGUUAGUAUUCCCAUCCCACAGAUGAGCAAACAGGUUGGGGUAAUUAAGCCCAAGGUUACCUUGCUAGAAAGUGGUAAAGUCAAGAUUCUAAGCCGUAUCUACCAACCCCACCACAACACCAACUCGCCACCCCUCAUCCUGCUUGCGGCAUCUCACAAGGUCAUGUCCAAGGUCUUUGGUGGCCAGGACUUCUCAGGAGCUAACCCUGUCACAACACACACCGUCUACAGCUUCUCCACUAGGUCUCAUCAGCAUGUCAUCAGGGGCCGUGGGGAGAGCACACUGUGGCUCAGCGGGUUAAGAACCCAACAUAGUGUCCGUGAGGAUGUGGCCUCACACCCCUGGCCUUGCUCAGUGGGUUAAGGAUCUGAUGUUGCCACAAGCUGCAGUGUAGGUUGAAGAUGCAGCUCGGAUCUGGCAUGGCUGUGGCUGUAGUGCAGGCCAGCAGCUGCAGCUGAUGAGACCACUAACCUGGGAACGUCCACAUGCCACAGAUGCAGCUGUAAAAAGGAAAAAGAAAAGAGCUGUGGGGAGCUCUCAAGGCGGGCAGCAGUGCCAGCCUCUGCUCUCACAGCUGCGUCCACCUGGUGGUUGCUCCACGCCUGAGGACUGCAGACACGGGCGCUCCUGAGAAAGACCGACGACUCCCCAGAGCUGCAGCACACCCCCACUCCUGACUGAUCCCAAAGACGCGGCUUUAAACCAGACCCCAUGGCGAGGCUGGCUCAGGAGCGCCCCACUCCCGCUCCCUGAGCAGUGGCUCCUGGGUCCACAGAGCCCAAGGCGCCAGCAGGGACCCUUCCCACUGCUUCUGGUUCAGGAUAACAGUUAAGGAUCUUUCCAUUCUGCCUUAAGCUUCAACCCCCGCUCCAGCUUCCU
rnacentral:lncRNA from 1 species